GGUCAAGCUACAAAAGGGCUCACGGGUGGAUACCUUGGCACACAGAGGCGAUGAAGG
rnacentral:rRNA from 1 species